rnacentral:rRNA from 1 species
UGGGGAAUUUUGGACAAUGGGGGCAACCCUGAUCCAGCCAUGCCGCGUGAGUGAAGAAGGCCUUCGGGUUGUAAAGCUCUUUCGGCGGGGACGAAACGGUUCGUGACAACACCACGGACUAAUGACGGUACCCGCAUAAGAAGCACCGGCUAACUACGUGCCAGCAGCCGCGGUAAUACGUAGGGUGCAGGCGUUAAUCGGAAUUACUGGGCGUAAAGCGUGCGCAGGCGGCUCCUUAAGUCAGAUGUGAAAUCCCCGGGCUUAACCUGGGAACUGCGUUUGAAACUGAGGGGCUAGAGUGUGGAAGAGGGGGGUGGAAUUCCAGGUGUAGCAGUGAAAUGCGUAGAGAUCUGGAGGAACACCGAUGGCGAAGGCAGCCCCCUGGGCUAACACUGACGCUCAUGCACGAAAGCGUGGGGAGCAAACAGGAUUAGAUACCCAGGUAGUCCCUGAGCGGGCUGGCAAGGCGCAU